CGAAGAUAUGUCUCGUGAUGAUAUCAGGAUGUUGCUAAGGAACAAAAACUUUAAUGGGCUUCAUUCCAUACGGUAUGUCUCAUCCUGAUUGUUCAACUCACGUGCCUGAGGCCCUUGUAGACAACUUCAAAGGUUAAACUAAUUCCUAGGCUGUAUGUCAAGUGUUGGUUCACCAUUUUUAAUCUCUAGUUAUCCAGCCUUGCCUCUCCAGAUGUUGUUGAUAUGCAUUUCCCAUAAUCCUGUGAGUGUCAGGGGACAACUGUUGGCGG